UAACGUUCACCUUGUAUCACUUGUGCGAGGCGCAUAAAUGACUGGCCACGGAACGGGGACCAGUG
ncrna:unclassified sequences Glutamine-II riboswitch (downstream peptide RNA)